rnacentral:rRNA from 1 species
CUGCCUACGGGGGGCAGCAGUGGGGGAUAUUGGACAAUGGGGGAAACCCUGAUCCAGCGAUGCCGCGUGAGGGAAGAAGGUUUUCGGAUUGUAAACUUCUAUCAGCAGGGAAGAAAAUGACGGUACCUGACUAAGAAGCCCCGGCUAACUACUUGCCAGCAGCCGCGGUAAUACGUAGGGGGCAAGCGUUAUCCGGAUUUACUGGGUGUAAAGGGAGCGUAGGCGGCGAUGCAAGUCAGAAGUGAAAGCCCGGGGCUCAACUCCGGGACUGCUUUUGAAACUGUAUGGCUGGAUUGCAGGAGAGG